AGCUCCAAUAGCGUAUACUAAAGUUGUUGCAGUUAAAAAGCUCGUAGUUGGAUUUCUGGCGGGGACGGCUGGUGGGGCCCGUGAGGGUCUCUACUGACGCCUGGUUCCCGUCAUCCUCGGGGAGAGCGGCCCUGGCAUUAAGUUGUUGGGGUCGGGAUCCUCGUCUUUUACUGUGAAAAAAUUAGAGUGUUCAAAGCAGGCUUAGGCCCUGAAUACAUUAGCAUGGAAUAAUAAGAUAUGACCUUGGUGGUCUAUUUUGUUGGUUUGCACGCCAAGGUAAUGAUUAAUAGGGAUAGUUGGGGGUAUUCGUAUUCAAUUGUCAGAGGUGAAAUUCUUGGAUUUAUGGAAGACGAACUACUGCGAAAGCAUUUACCAAGGAUGUUUUCA
rnacentral:rRNA from 1 species